GUAAUUUGUUUAAACUGUAUGUUAUAUGGGUCUCUCAUUCAUUGAUGUAGUAUUUUUUCUUCUAAUUUUAAUUAGGAACUUAAAUUCCCUGAGUGUUGACACUCUAUGUCAUUUGGGAUAAGGGUUAGGGUUGGUGAGGUAAUAACUCUUUGAAGAAGAGAAACAUCUAAAAAAGCACCUACUAAAUCUUAAUUUCCAUUUGUUUUAUGGUCAAACUGUAAUUUCCAGUAAUAAGAGAAAAGGAAAGCAAAAGAAUUGAUCCUAUUAGCAAGAAUUAGAAAAUAGACAAGGUUGUUUUAAAGAAGUACUAGAAGAAAAUAUAUCUUAAUGAGUAUUUAAUUUUCACUAUCUUAUAAACGUUCUAUAUUGUCUUAGUAUUUCCAGUUUUUAAAAAGUAUGGAAGUUUCAGGUUUAAAUCAGGAUUAGAAAGUCUUAUACCUUGAGUAUCCUCCUGAUCAAUGAGUGUAAGACAAUAUAUCAGCUUAUCCUGUUUUUCUAAAUUUCAAGUAAAAAUGUGAAUAAUAGUUUAGAUUGAGCUUUAGAAAGACAAUCUCUUACACAUUUACAGAAGCAAAGCGAUAUUCAAAGACUAGCACCACAUCCAUACCUUAGGCUAGAACACUUCUCUGUCAGUAAACUGCAGAACUUCUGCCACCCUUUCCAACUUCUCAGGGAAGUUCUGGGGAGAAUCUGCUCCUCUGUCCACUGGUUUGCUUGCCCUUCACCACAGGAAGUAUAGCCAAUUUGGUUAAUGGGAGAUUGAUAUCUACAGGGUCACACUUUUCAGAAGCAGGGUGACUGAAUUCAAAACUGUGCUCUCCUUUCUGUUAUCAGCCAGGUUUGGGAGCCAAGCCUGUGCUUCUCCUUGCAGAUUGGCAACUGUCCUCAAAGUCCAUGGAAAGGGUUCCAAGCUCGAGAAUUGGGGGCAAAUAUUAGAAAGCCAUACUUUCCCCUUCAUUUCUAGCAAAUAUCUUCAAUAUAGUUGUACCAAAACACUACAGUUUGGGAGUUAUUGGGAUUCCACUAAUUAAGCUGAUGCUUUGAUCUCCAUUUGAUUUCUUGAGUCCACUCUGUCCUCAGAGAAUCAGUCUAACACAGUGGUUAAGAAUGCAAGCCCCGGCAUCAGCCUUCCCAGUGUCAUCACUUACUAGCUCUAUGACUUGUAUACAUCUCCUCGCUCAGUUCCCUUUUCUAUAAAACGCUCAGCCAUUAGUAUUUUUGCUAAACAGAACUUGGAGGAGAGAAUGGAUGAGUGAUUGUCAUUUCAAUAUUGCAUCAUUACUGUAUGGGAGAUAAAAUUUCCUUUGUCUAAAGGAGAUGGACCAAACAAGUCACAUAGCUAUACAAUCAAAAGACUGAAUAUUUAAAAAAUAAAGCAUAAAAUAGAAAUCAUUUUCAUGGUAAAGCCCCAGGUAGUAAAACUCUACUGGUGAAGAAUAUUUCUACUUUCUACCAAACCUGCCUUGUCUCUGUUAUCCAUAGAACAUCUUAACCACCAAGAAAACUUUUUUUCUACUUAAAUAUUUGUGACACAUAAUUUUCUCCCUGUUAGUGGAUAUGGGGAAAGAAUGGUGCUUAGAAUUAAAAAUAAAUGAACAAAACCCCCUUUCCCAUAGGCCUCCUCAAUAAUGCCACAUUCAUUUCUCAAGCAGUAUGUGAGAGUCCCAUCAGGUAAAAAGUCCUAUUGGGCUUCUGCUGAAGCUUCCUGAGCAUAGCUAGGAUUACUGCUGACAUCCAGAGCUGCUGUUGCUGUGUACAACAUUCUGGUACCCUACGUAUUCUAAGACUAAGGGAAAGGAACCAAAGAAGGAAGGAAGGGAUUUCAUUCCCAUUCUCCUCCCCAAACCCUGAGAGCCAAUCUCCUAGCAUCUCAUAGUGUUGGGAUCACCAGGGCUGGCCCCUUGCAUUAUAACGAGUACAACUUAUUAAGUAGCUUUCCUGGGUCCGUUGCUUUACAUAAUUAAUACCAAAAUAACUCUAUGGAUUAUCACAUCUAUUUUUUUUAGAUGAGUACAAAGAAACUUAGGAUUUGCCAGAGUGACCAUGAUUCAAAUCUGUCUCUCAUUCAAAGGUAUCUCUCUAUCACACUAAGAAGGUGUCCAUGUACAUGUCUGUUUGGGGGAACCAACAGAAGGGUCCGGUAUGGAAGUUCUCACUUCCAGUUAACCACACUGAUUGAAAACCGCUGUCUAAGACCAUAAAAAGGUAAAACUCUACGAGGUGGAGAAAGGGUGCUGUAAUCUGAAGAAACGCCGUGAACAAAGAUAAGGCAUGAAGAUGCACGGUACACCCAGAGACCUAAUGGCCCCGCGUGGAGAUCACAACCUCAGAUGCCUCCAGGAUCAUGCAGGUCAUUUAAACCCAUGAGGUUGGAAAUGGCAACCAGGAAGAUAUACUUACAGCACUAUGAAGCCACAGGAGGACACAGCAGACACAACUCCAACUGCAUGCAUACCUCAGGAGAUUUUGUGACUUUGGUUCCAGAUCACUGCAAUAAAGAGAAUAUCACAAUAAAGCAUUUAUCACUAGGAACUUUCAUCUUAGAAUGGCUCUGCUGCAUCCCAUAAGUUUUGGUAUGUUGCUUUUAUAUUUUCAUUUGUCU